rnacentral:rRNA from 1 species
UACAGAGGUCUCAAGCGUUGUUCGGAUUCAUUGGGCGUAAAGGGUGCGUAAGCGGCGCGGUAAGUCGGGUGUGAAAUCUUGGAGCUUAACUCCGAAACUGCAUUCGAUACUGCCGUGCUUGAGGACUGGAGAGGGUUGCGGAAUUCCCGGUGUAGCGGUGAAAUGCGUAGAGAUCGGGAGGAACACCGGUGGCGAAGGCGGCCCUCUGGACGGUGACUGACGCUGAGACGCGAAAGCGUGGGGAGCAAACAGG